rnacentral:lncRNA from 1 species
GCUGUUACAUUGUAGAAAUACUUUAGUUUUAUGUGAGAUAAUAAAUGCUGUGCUGUUAUUGGCUGUCAGAGGGAAGAGGAGGAGGCUCGACAGAGGCUGAUAGAAGAGCAGCAGAGGCUGGAGAGAGAGCAACGCUUCCAGAGAGAGGAGUCUGAGCGGCUGGAGAGGAAGAAGGUAUGACAGCCGAGAGCGUGAAUCAGUGCCUGCUGCUGAAUGUAGGUCAGCCGUGCUGAGCACCGAGAGAGAUCUCACAGUCUGGAGAAUUAAAACCAGUAAAAGGGAGAUUUCAGAAUUUUUUAAUAGACUGUAUAGGCAUUUUUCAUUUUUAUUUUUGUAUUAUUAUAUGCAGUUUUAUUGAUGAUAUUGUAUUGUUUUUUUAAAUUAUUCUUUUAUCUCCACAGCGACUAGACGAAAUUAUGAAAAGAACACGAAAAACAGAUGCAACUGAGAAGAAACCUGCUUCCUCCAGUAUCAUAAUGAAAGACAGUCUUCCGAAUGAGAAUAUAAAGCCUAUUCACAGUCUGCCGUUAGAAGACGUUAUCAAGCUGCCCAGUCCAUCAAAGGCCUCUAAGAUAGCUCUGGAGAAUGAGGAGGACAUCCUUCCUGCAGUGGCCUUUAAAGAGCGCAGGUCCCUCCGUACUCUCACCGGCCUGGAUGAGAUCCAGGCUCAUCAGAGAGCAGGUCAGAGAUCCUUCCCUACAGACCGUAUUUAGAAAUGAUCUCCCACAGCAUGCUUUCAGUGAUGUGCUGCUGGAUUAUUGACCUCAUUAAAGCAACCACAAAUUCUGUGUUUCUUACAUUUAUCGUGACUUUAAAU